rnacentral:rRNA from 1 species
GAUGAACGCUGGCGGCGUGCCUAAUACAUGCAAGUCGAGCGAAUGGAUUAAGAGCUUGCUCUUAUGAAGUUAGCGGCGGACGGGUGAGUAACGCGUGGGUAACCUGCCCAUAAGACUGGGAUAACUCCGGGAAACCGGGGCCAAUACCGGAUAACAUUUUGAACCGCAUGGUUCGAAAUUGAAAGGCGGCUUCGGCUGUCACUUAUGGAUGGACCCGCGUCGCAUUAGCUAGUUGGUGAGGUAACGGCCCACCAAGGAAACGAUGCGUAGCCGACCUGAGAGGGUGAUCGGCCACACUGGGACUGAAACACGGCCCAGACUCCUACGGGAGGCAGCAGUAGGGAAUCUUCCGCAAUGGAAGAAAGUCUGACGGAGCAACGCCGCGUGAGUGAUGAAGGCUUUCGGGUCGUAAGACUCUGUUGUUAGGGAAGAACAAGUGCUAGUUGAAUAAGCUGGCACCUUGACGGUACCUAACCAGAAAGCCACGGCUAACUACGUGCCAGCCGCCGCCGUAA